GGGCUCAGCUUGCGAGAUGCCUGUGAUGCUGCAGUUGAGUGCGGGGAGCUGGGAACUCACUCUCUCAUUUACCAGAGGGGAAACGGAGGCUGGGAGAAGGGAAGUGACUCAUGGAGGGCCACACAGCCAGGCAAAGCUGGGACAAGGCUAGGAUCAGGACCCAGGGCUCUCGGCACCCCGCCCUCCAAGUCUGAGCGCUAGCAGGCGCAGAGAUACGAAUUCAACAGUGCCAGAGCUCAGGAGACCCCCUGACGGGGGGAAGGCAUCUCGGAGACGUCGCAGUUUCUGGCAAGAGCAGGCAGGAACUCCUUGGGAAUUAACCCUGACCUGCAAGAGCUGGCUUCCCGGCAGAAUAGUACUAGAGAGAGCCGCGCAACCCACUGCCAAAACCCUCAUCUUCAUUGCCAAUAAAGGCCAGGCGCAGCCUCGCAAGAGGUGCCUCUUCCUCCGGCAUGCAAUCAGCUCCUCGCUGGGCGGCCAGAGUCUGCGCAGCCCAAACGGCAUGGGCAUGAGGGCUCCCCUCUUUCAUAUAAGGUCUUCCUCAGGAAGGACGUGGAUGCAGACGACAAGCAGCAGGAGCCUGGGAGUGUUCAGGCCAGUGUUUUCUGCUCUCCAGUGGGCAGAUGCUCUCCCUUCUAUGCGGCAGAGACCUGGGUGCGAGGCAAGCUGCGGGACCUGAAGGACGGCUGUGACCUCCAGGAUUGUGAGGAGGUGGCUCAGACCUUGCAGCGGGACAUGAAGGAUUUUGAGAACACACUGAUAAAGCUCAAUCAGAUGGGUGAGCAGCUGAUGUGGAGGGCAAGCCCCAGUGCUGAGGCCAUGCAGAGGCAGCUGCAGGCCCUGCAGGACCUGUGGCAGCUCCUGAAGCAGACGGCUGCCAGCCAGAGCAAAGCCCUCCGGGGGCUGUGGGGUCUGCAGGACUUUAACAGGAAAGCUGAGCGGCUGGAGGCGUGGAUCAAGGACAAGGAGGAGAAGCCGUCUCUGGCAGCCCUCCUGCAGGAAAGCCCGGAUAAGAUCCAGCUCACUCGCCGCAUCCUUGACUUGAAGCAGGAGGAGCAGCAGUUCCAGAGUCUGCACAAGGAGCUGAACAGCCUGGCCCAGAAGCUGGAGAAAGAAGGCAAAAAUGAGAGCAGAAACAUCUCAGCCCGGCGCAAGCACCUCAACAGAGCGUGGCUUCGGCUGCAGGGGACCCUGAAGGAGCACCACGAGUCUCUGCAGCUGGCCCUGGAGGUGGCCUCCUUCCUCCAGCAAGCAGAUAUCCUGCUGGGGAUCAUCCAUGCAAAGCAGAGCAGCAUCUGCAGUACAGGGAAGCCAGGGGAGGGUGAGCCAUGCCAGGAUCGGGAUAUCAGGGACAUAGCCAGCCAGGUGAUGAUGCUGGAUGUGACAGUGUCCCAGCUCCUAAACUUACAGCCCAGCCUGGCAGCCCAAGUCACCUCAAAGCACCGAGACGUAAAGGAGAGCUGGGCACAGCUUCAACAGGCACUGAGAACAGGGAAGGCUCCAGCACGGGCAGGCAGUUCCCCAGGGAGCAAAGCUGCAGCUCCAAAUGUUGAGCCCCAAGGAGAUGAUAGCAGUCGUGGGGCUGUGGGUAAGGAAGCAGCAGCCAAGUGGACAAGAGGACUCGGCAGCAUGGUAAGCACUAUCUCACUCCAGGCAUCUGCAGCUCCUCUGCUUCCAGAAAACAAGAGAGCCUAUGGGAAAGGGGUUCAGGUGUUGGGCAGAAUCCAAGCUGAACACUCCUGGAUCUGGUCCCACCAUUUAUGGGAGGUGAUAAGUGCCAGGCCUGGGACAAAGCAGGUAUAUGCUUUGUGCUGGCCAAGGAGGAAAGGGAAUCUUUGUGCCACAGGUACCAAAAGAUGUGCUGGAGAAGAUGGCAGAGCACAAGAAAGGAGAGGAGAGCAACCCUGGCUCCCCAGCAGUGGGACAGGCCCCUCAUGGAGGGGACAACAAAAGGAGGAGAGAGGCAGAGGCUGACUGGGGGCUGCAGCAGCUGGAUACCCAAGUGCAGGAUGUCUGCCAGACUCUGUCCCCAUACAAGGAGAGUAUGGGUAUUGGAGUCCCCUCAUGUCCAGUGGCAAGCCUGGAGGCAGCAAGGAUGCAGCAAGAGCCCCUGUCUCCCAGCUCCAGUACCAGGGCUGUGCUCCUGGAGGAACCAGCACGAGGAAGGCCUCCCAGGAGCCCUCGGGUGGAGGCCAUGCUGCGGGAACUGGGAGAGUUAUGGGAGGACCUGCAGAGGAGGCAUCAGGAGAAUGGCAUAGUGCUGCAAGAAAUCGAUAAGGCACUGAGGCUGGUGGGAGAGCUGGACCAAGCUGAGCGGUGGCUGCAAGACGUGGCUGGGUCACUCUUGGAACCAGCCGCCAUGAGAAGCCCGGCAGAGCUGCGCCGGGACCUGGAAGAACUGAGCCAGCUGGAGAAGCAGCUCCUGCUCUGUGGCCUCAAGCUGCAGGCACUGCGGGAAGAAGCAGCAGGCGAGUCGCCCACUGAGCACGAGGGGGCAAGGAAGAUGCAGAGGAAAGUGGAGAUGAUGGAGGAGAAGUUGGCACAUGUGCAGGCGACCCUACGGCACAGGGCAGCAGAUCUGUGUGACUCCCUGGUGCUGUCUGAGUUCCUGCAGGACCUGCAAGAGGAGGAGGCACGGAGCCAGCAGGGAUCUGCAGUGGCAGGCAGUGGGCGUUGUGGCUCGCAGGGGUGUUUUCCCCUGCUCUCAGCCCAGACUGAGAAGUCUCCAAGCAGUGAGGACAUGAGGCGCCCCUUGGGAGAGCUGCAGGAGGCCGUGGAGAUGCUGAAUGACGCAGCGAAGGAGCGGGAGAGGGUCAUGGAGGUGGCAGUGGAGACGGAGAGCCUGGAGCGUCUGGUGGCGAAGAUAUCCCCACAGCUGGAGGCCCUUCAGUGCAGAGCCAAGGCUCUGUCUCAGGACAUUGCCCUAGCAGAGAAGAGCUUCACCACGGUGAAGAGUGAGAAGGACCUGCAAGGGCUGCAGGACUUGCUAAGCUGCCAGCAGGAGAUGGAGCAAGCAGUGUCACAGACCCUGCAAGGGCAGCUGGAGGAGCUGGAGAGGGCAGCUGCCCGCGUGCAAGAGCUGUGCCCCGCUCGGCAGUGCCCCAUCAGCUGGGAGCUGCAGGAGACUCUGUGGGCCUGGGCAGGGCUGCGAGAGCUACUGCGGGAGACCCGGCUCCGCGUGCAGCAGGCCAGCCAGCUCCGGCACUUCUUCAAGGAUUAUUUAGCCAUGAUCUCCUGGACUGAGGACACACGGGCUCAGAUCUUCUCUGAAAGCCCAAGCAGCUCCAGUAUCCCGGAGACUCCAUGUGAGGAACUGGAGAGCAGAAUUGAAGAGAAACUCAAGGAGUUUGAGGCACUAGCAGCAGCAGGGCAGCAGCUGGUGUCUGAGGAGCACUACCUGAGUGCAACAAUAAAGGAGCGCUUGGAAGAGCUGCAGAGCAUGCUGGGCUGGGUGCUGGUGCGGUGGCGAGCACAGAGGCAUCAGCAGCAGGAUCUGGGGAGCAGACAGGACAAGAGGGAGCUGGAGAACCUCUCAAGCACAUCCCCCACUGGUCAAGAGCAGCAUGCCUCACAUGUUCCACCCCACCUGGAAAGCAUCCACAGCCCAGUGAAGUUCAUGCCCUCCUCCCUCCUCGAACCUGUGCAAAGAUUAGAGCCAAAGCUUCCAGAGAAAACAGCCAUCUCCCCACCCACGUCACCCCUCUCAGAUGCCCCAUCAGGAGUGGAGCAGAGCUGGGGGGAGCCCAGCAGCAAAACACCCCAUGAUGCGGAAUCCCAGCAGGCUGCCACCUGGGAUCCUGCUGAGACUUCCACGCUGCUGCUGCCACCACGGGGCCCCUGUGGUCUCAGGGGGACGGUCAGCCUCAUCCUCAGCAUUGGCAAGAAGGGCGAGAAGAAGAAGGCACAGCUGCUGGCCAGCAGCGAGCGGCCAGGGGAGGAGGCACUGCCAACGGUGCAGGUGGAGGCCAGGAAAACCUGCAGCGCAAAGCGGCUGCCCGCUGUUGUCCGCCGCCCUCCAGCAUCCAGCGGCGGGAUGCAGGCUGUGUCCCACACCCUGCCCAAGGCCGGGGCUGGCUGUCUCUUCAACAGCCUGCAGCGGCGGGAGCAGGCCAGGGCGGAGCAGGCCCAGCUGCUGACUCUCCGGGGCAUCAUGGGGGACAGCUCCCUGCGGCCCACGCCUGAGAAAUGCCGUGGCCCCAGCAACACCUGGCCCCACAAGUGUGGUUGGAGGAAGGGGGGGUCAGGGGCAGCUGCUGCUGGACCUCAGCUUGGGGAGCUGCUCCUCUACGUCAGGAACCCGCUGGUGCAGGACAUCGAUGCCGAGUGCGGGGCAGCCCCUCAGAAUCCCUGCCUCCCUAACCCAAAAAUCACAUGCCCCCGUGUUUCCCUGGGCUCUGUGCUCAGCCUGGAGCUGCCACGGGAUGCAGUGGUCCUGGGGUGCCACCGAGGGGCUGCGGCAGGCCAGCAGGAGGCAGAGGGGCAGGAGCAGAGGCAGGAUGAAGGGGUGAGGCCUUGGAGGCCCACAGGCACACAUGGAGUUGGAUGGCAGGAAGAUGGGCACGAUCCCCAGGGGCCCAGCAAGAGGCUGGGGAUGUCGCCCAAGAGCGAGCAAGAAACGUGGUUCAAGGAGGUGAGCUUCGACCCCAGCUACAGCCAACAAAGAGCACACUGUGCUGGGAAGGAGCACUGGAACCUGCAGCACCCCAGCAGCACCAGUAAAGACCUUCUGGACUUGAGGCCGAGCCAGCCAUCCCAUGUCGGUAUGGGGGAUGAGCUGGACACCCGCUUUGGCCAGGACGACAGCCCCACUGCCACUGGCAGGGCCAGGCAUCUCAGAGCCGCUUGGCUAGAGCUUGGAUCGUCCCCUGCCAGCACACCAGGCAGGGCUGGAGCCAUCCCCAGCCCUGCCUGUACACAGCAGCCGGCCAGCAGCAGCCAGCCCAGAGGGUCCCCAGCUUCCCCUGCCGCCCCCAGCCAGCUCUCUGUCUUUGAGUGGGCACUGGGGUCUCCACAUCCCCAGAGCCCUGCACAGGUAACUAAGGAAGUUUGCCACCCUGCCCACAGGCAGUUUGAGGAAGAGGAGGAGGAGCUGCAGGCCAUCUGGGAUGGAGCACACGAACAACAGGCACAGAGCUCACCAGGAGACAGCUGUGCCAGCCACCAGACGGGCAGCAGGGCAGGCAGCUUGCCCAGCCCCAGUGCCACUACUGGCGGGCCCCUCAUCCUGUCAUCAGCCAACAAUGUGCUAGUAGCCAAAUUCACCCUUCCCACCGCUGCCCAGCUGCUCCA
rnacentral:lncRNA from 1 species